CUUCCAGUAGCACCUUAGAGACCAACUAAGUUUGUUAUUGGUAUGAGCUUUCGUAUCUGAAGAAGUGUGCAUGAGCACGAAAGCUCAUACUAAUAACAAACUUAGUUGGUCUCUAAGGUGCUACUGGAAG
rnacentral:miRNA from 1 species